GACGAACUUUGGCGGCGUGCUUAACACAUGCAAGUCGAACGGAAAGGCCCUGCUUUUGUGGGGUGCUCGAGUGGCGAACGGGUGAGUAACACGUGAGUAACCUGCCCUUGACUUUGGGAUAACUUCAGGAAACUGGGGCUAAUACCGGAUAGGAGCUCCUGCUGCAUGGUGGGGGUUGGAAAGUUUCGGCGGUUGGGGAUGGACUCGCGGCUUAUCAGCUUGUUGGUGGGGUAGUGGCUUACCAAGGCUUUGACGGGUAGCCGGCCUGAGAGGGUGACCGGCCACAUUGGGACUGAGAUACGGCCCAGACUCCUACGGGAGGCAGCAGUGGGGAAUAUUGCACAAUGGGCGGAAGCCUGAUGCAGCAACGCCGCGUGCGGGAUGACGGCCUUCGGGUUGUAAACCGCUUUCGCCUGUGACGAAGCGUGAGUGACGGUAAUGGGUAAAGAAGCACCGGCUAACUACGUGCCAGCAGCCGCGGUGAUACGUAGGGUGCGAGCGUUGUCCGGAUUUAUUGGGCGUAAAGGGCUCGUAGGUGGUUGAUCGCGUCGGAAGUGUAAUCUUGGGGCUUAACCCUGAGCGUGCUUUCGAUACGGGUUGACUUGAGGAAGGUAGGGGAGAAUGGAAUUCCUGGUGGAGCGGUGGAAUGCGCAGAUAUCAGGAGGAACACCAGUGGCGAAGGCGGUUCUCUGGGCCUUUCCUGACGCUGAGGAGCGAAAGCGUGGGGAGCGAACAGGCUUAGAUACCCUGGUAGUCCACGCUGUAAACGGUGGGUACUAGGUGUGGGGUCCAUUCCACGGGUUCCGUGCCGUAGCUAACGCUUUAAGUACCCCGCCUGGGGAGUACGGCCGCAAGGCUAAAACUCAAAGGAAUUGACGGGGCCCCGCACAAGCGGCGGAGCAUGCGGAUUAAUUCGAUGCAACGCGUAGAACCUUACCUGGGUUUGACAUGGAUCGGGAGUGCUCAGAGAUGGGUGUGCCUCUUUUGGGGUCGGUUCACAGGUGGUGCAUGGCUGUCGUCAGCUCGUGUCGUGAGAUGUUGGGUUAAGUCCCGCAACGAGCGCAACCCUUGUUCACUGUUGCCAGCACGUUAUGGUGGGGACUCAGUGGAGACCGCCGGGGUCAACUCGGAGGAAGGUGGGGAUGACGUCAAGUCAUCAUGUCCCUUAUGUCCAGGGCUUCACGCAUGCUACAAUGGCUGGUACAGAGAGUGGCGAGCCUGUGAGGGUGAGCGAAUCUCGGAAAGCCGGUCUCAGUUCGGAUUGGGGUCUGCAACUCGACCUCAUGAAGUCGGAGUCGCUAGUAAUCGCAGAUCAGCAACGCUGCGGUGAAUACGUUCCCGGGGCU
rnacentral:rRNA from 1 species